rnacentral:rRNA from 1 species
GAUGAACGCUGGCGGCGUGCCUAAUACAUGCAAGUCGAGCGAACAGACGAGGAGCUUGCUCCUCUGACGUUAGCGGCGGACGGGUGAGUAACACGUGGAUAACCUACCUAUAAGACUGGGAUAACUUCGGGAAACCGGAGCUAAUACCGGAUAAUAUAUUGAACCGCAGGGUUCAAUAGUGAAAGACGGUUUUGCUGUCACUUAUAGAUGGAUCCGCGCCGCAUUAGCUAGUUGGUAAGGUAACGGCUUACCAAGGCAACGAUGCGUAGCCGACCUGAGAGGGUGGUCGGCCACACUGGAACUGAGACACGGUCCAGACUCCUACGGGAGGCAGCAGUAGGGAAUCUUCCGCAAUGGGCGAAAGCCUGACGGAGCAACGCCGCGUGAGUGAUGAAGGUCUUCGGAUCGUAAAACUCUGUUAUUAGGGAAGAACAAAUGUGUAAGUAACUAUGCACGUCUUGACGGUACCUAAUCAGAAAGCCACGGCUAACUACGUG